AACGAACGCUGGCGGCAUGCCUAACACAUGCAAGUCGAACGAGACCUUCGGGUCUAGUGGCGCACGGGUGCGUAACGCGUGGGAACCUGCCCUUAGGUUCGGAAUCACUCCCCGAAAGGGGUGCUAAUACCGGAUAAUGUCUUCGGACCAAAGAUUUAUCGCCUUUGGAUGGGCCCGCGUUGGAUUAGCUAGUUGGUAGGGUAAAAGCCUAACAAGGCGACGCUCCAUAGCUGGUCUGAGAGGAUGAUCAGCCACACUGGGACUGAGACACGGCCCAGACUCCUACGGGAGGCAGCAGUGGGGAAUAUUGGACAAUGGGCGAAAGCCUGAUCCAGCAAUGCCGCGUGAGUGAUGAAGGCCUUAGGGUUGUAAAGCUCUUUUACCCGGGAUGAUAAUGACAGUACCGGGAGAAUAAGCACCGGCUAACUCCGUG
rnacentral:rRNA from 1 species